rnacentral:rRNA from 1 species
UACAGAGGGUGCAAGCGUUAAUCGGAAUUACUGGGCGUAAAGCGCGCGUAGGUGGACAAGUAAGUUGGAUGUGAAAUCCCCGGGCUCAACCCGGGAACUGCAUUCAAAACUGCUUAUCUAGAGUAUGGUAGAGGGGAGUGGAAUUUCCGGUGUAGCGGUGAAAUGCGUAGAUAUCGGAAGGAACACCAGUGGCGAAGGCGACUCCCUGGACUAAUACUGACACUGAGGUGCGAAAGCGUGGGGAGCAAACAGG